CCUACGGGUGGCAGCAGUGGGGAAUAUUGGGCAAUGGGCGCAAGCCUGACCCAGCAACGCCGCGUGAAGGAAGAAGGCUUUCGGGUUGUAAACUUCUUUUGUCCAGGGACAAAAUCAGGCUCGAGAGCCUGACCGCGGGUACUUGAAGAAAAAGCAUCGGCUAACUCCGUGCCAGCAGCCGCGGUAAUACGGAGGAUGCGAGCGUUAUCCGGAUUUAGUGGGUUUAAAGGGUGCGUAGGCGGGCUGUUAAGUCAGCGGUAAAAGCCCGGGGCUCAACCCCGGCGAGCCGUUGAAACUGGCUGUCUUGAGAUGUCGAGAGGUAUGCGGAAUGCGUAGUGUAGCGGUGAAAUGCUUAGAUAUUGCGCAGAACUCCGAUUGCGAAGACAGCAUACCGGCGGCGAUCUGACGCUGAGGCACGAAAGCGUGGGUAUCGAACAGGAUUAGAUACCCGUGUAGUC
rnacentral:rRNA from 1 species